UUAUAGUGCUGUUCCGUCCAUAUUUCUCAACACGUCAGAAAAUGUAUUUUCACAAAUAUCAAGUACACCAGAAAAUUCAAUUGCCNAUCCUCUAACCACAGUUACAGUAGUAGAAAAUGCAAGUAUCGAUCUUNCAUCAACAUCUGCAAUAGCAACAGAUCAGCUUUCUUCUGCUUUGAUUGCUGAUCUGUCAACUGUGGCAACUAGUAUAAAUGUCUCCGAUACUGUGCAGCAUCCUAAGAUACAGAAAAAAAUAAUGCAUAGUUGCACAUUACAUUUUAAAAAGCAAGAAAUCUCGCCAAGAAAGAAAAAAAUGAAGAGAGAAAUUAAAACAUUAAAACAAAAGUUAAGAAGAAAAGAUCAAACACUUCGUUCACUCCAAGAUUUAUUAAAACAAUUAAGGCACAAGAAUGUUCUUGAACAUGAUGGGUGCGAAUUGAUUUUGAAAAACUUUAAUGGAAUGGUUGGAGAGUUAUUCAAAAAUGAAUGGCAGAACCGAAA